CGUGUAGGCGGUUGGUCAAGUCGGGUGUGAAAGCCUGGGGCUCAGCCUCAGAAGUGCAUCCGAAACUAGCCAGCUAGAGCGCGAUAGAGGAGGGUGGAAUUCCUGGUGUAGCGGUGAAAUGCGUAGAUAUCAGGAGGAACACCGGCGGCGAAGGCGGCCCUCUGGAUCGUUGCUGACGCUGAGACGCGAAAGCGUGGGGAGCAAACAGGAUUAGAUACCCUGGUAGUCCACGCCUUAAACGAUGGGUACUAGGUGUUCGGGGUGUUGACCCCCUGAGUGCCGCAGUUAACGCAUUAAGUACCCCGCCUGGGGACUACGGCCGCAAGGUUAA
rnacentral:rRNA from 1 species